rnacentral:lncRNA from 1 species
AAAACCUAGAUGAGCUAUACCUCAUUUGUACAAUCUUCUUCUCCAACUUAGCAAAGCUUGAAGCUCAGUUCUUCAUGGCAAUGACAGCUUCUUCUCCAGCUCAUUCAUCCCAUGGCACUAGCUUAUUGCAAGCUCUAACUCAGACAGAAACCAAAAUUUGGAUUCAAAGGAGAAUGACCAAUUUCUUCAAGAAACCAUACUCUUGAGGAAAU